UACAAAAACGGCAAGCGUUGUUCGGAAUUAUUGGGCGUAAAGAGCACGUAGGCGACUGUGUAAGUCGGUUGUGAAAGCCUUCCGCUCAACGGAAGAACGGCAUCCGAUACUGCAUGGCUUGAGUGUGAGAGGGGAGAGUGGAACUUCUGAUGGAGCGGUGAAAUGCGUAGAUAUCAGAAAGAACACCGGCGGCGAAGGCGACUCUCUGGUCCAUAACUGACGCUAAGUGUGCGAAAGCUAAAAAAGCAAA
rnacentral:rRNA from 1 species